GAAAAAAUUUGGUGGGAUAAGCUUGCCAGACACGCUCAAGAGAAUAAUAAGAGACAUGCUCUAGGAUGAGGUGGCUACAAACUACAGUUGGCAAGGUGCCAAAGGAAAGUUACACUUCAGUAAGACAGCAUGCUGCCAAAUCCUGCUUGAAAUCGCUGCUGCCAGCCCACAGUCCCUUGGUAGGACAACUUCUGACAUUGAACAAGUCAUAAAAUCGUGGCUGGGGCAUUCCAAGGAACGCCUAUUGAAGAAAAAAGGGACGUCAGUGCCUGAAAAGUCACCUCCAAGGCAUCAACAAGACAUUGAAGCUUUAGAUGGACACGACCCGACUGAGUGCGACACUCGCUAAAGGCGUGCAUGUCAUGUACUGUCGAUAUAUUUAUUUAUUUUAUUUAUUUAUUGAAUACUGCAGACCAAGAAUCGGUCCAAGCAGGACAGGUACAAGAGGCAAGUUAUAUAAUAUCACAUGUUCUUUUUACGUUUGUGUGUUUUUACAUUUACGCUCUUACAUUUGUGUCCUCUGCUGUACAUGCCGAUACAUAUUUUUUUAGAUUUCAAUUUUAGCUUAUAUAUGUGACUUUUUGUUUUCUUUUUGUACAGCACACUGUCUCAUCCAUAUUGCUCUCACUUUUUGUGACAUGAAGAGACAUGCAGUGGUCAUAUCUAUGCUGUCUUCAAGUUUCGUGUAUAAGAGUGAAACUUUCAAGUUUCAUUCUUGUUAUUGUUUCGAGUUUUGUCUUGACAGGCUUACUGAAGCUGAGAAGGAAAGAAGCGCCUGGUAUUUGUCUGUGGCCCCACCUUUUAUUUGUGCUGCCAUAACUGGACAUCAGUGACCAGAGUGCCUACUGUGUAUCUAUUGAAAGCGCCUUAACCCCCUGAGAGCCUCUUUCGUCAGGUUUGUUAGUGUGAAACAACUAAAUUUAGUUUAUUUGCUCAUAGAUUUCAGCACAAAGGUGCCAAGCGAAAGCACAAAGGCAUUUGUGCAAACAUGCGCCUGGUAAAGCAUGGCAGUGUUUCGUAUCAGCAGUUGUUUCAGACCGUACUAUGCCAAGCAAGUUUAGGACAGCAAAUGUUGUCGUUAGUGUAAUUAAAAGUUGAGUUAACUAAGAUACUUUGUGAAGGUAAGCUUGUGGAAAUGCUAAUGUGAAUGUGCCGAUUUGACUUUUAUGAAAGUUUUGUGCAGGUAGAAGGAAAGCCUUCAUAUGGCACAUGUCUUGCUCUUAUAUCUUUUAUUUUAACCUGAGGAAAAAGCUAUUUUUUCAAUCAGUUCUUUCUUACUCCAAUGAGCAAGGUGUGCAACGUCUUGACACAGUGCAAUGUA